rnacentral:rRNA from 1 species
GACGAACGCUGGCGGCGUGCUUAACGCAUGCAAGUCGAAUGGUGAAAGCGGAGCUUGCUCCGCUGGAUCAGUGGCGAACGGGUGAGUAACACGUGGGCAACCUGCCCCUCACUUCGGGAUAACUCCGGGAAACCGGGGCUAAUACCGGAUAUGACCUCCUUGGGCAUCCUUGGAGGUGGAAAGUUUUUCGGUGAGGGAUGGGCCCGCGGCCUAUCAGCUUGUUGGUGAGGUAGUGGCUCACCAAGGCGACGACGGGUAGCCGGCCUGAGAGGGCGACCGGCCACACUGGGACUGAGACACGGCCCAGACUCCUACGGGAGGCAGCAGUGGGGAAUAUUGCGCAAUGGGCGAAAGCCUGACGCAGCAACGCCGCGUGCGGGAUGACGGCCUUCGGGUUGUAAACCGCUUUCAGCAGGGAAGAAGCCGCAAGGUGACGGUACCUGCAGAAGAAGCACCGGCUAACUACGUGCCAGCCGCCGCGGUAA